UACGUAGGGUGCAAGCGUUGUCCGGAAUUAUUGGGCGUAAAGAGCUCGUAGGCGGUUUGUUGCGUCGGCUGUGAAAUCCCGAGGCUCAACCUCGGGUCUGCAGUCGAUACGAGCAAACUAGAGUGUUGCAGGGGAGACUGGAAUUCCUGGUGUAGCGGUGAAAUGCGCAGAUAUCAGGAGGAACACCGGUGGCGAAGGCGGGGUCUCUGGGGCAACAACUGACGCUGAGGAGCGAAAAGCGUGGGGGAGCGAACAGG
rnacentral:rRNA from 1 species